CCUACGGGUGGCAGCAGUGGGGAAUAUUGGGCAAUGGGCGCAAGCCUGACCCAGCAACGCCGCGUGAAGGAAGAAGGCUUUCGGGUUGUAAACUUCUUUUCUGAGGGACGAAGAAAGUGACGGUACCUCAGGAAUAAGCCACUGCUAACUACGUGCCAGCAGCCGCGGUAAUACGUAGGUGGCAAGCGUUAGCCGGAUGUAUUGGGGGUAAAGGGAGUGUAGGCGGGAAAGCAAGUCAGAUGUGAAAACUCAGGGCUCAACCCUGAGCCUGCAUUGGAAGCUGUUUUUCUUGAGUGCUGGAGAGGCAAGCGGAAUUCCGGGUGUAGCGGUGAAAUGCGUAGAUAUACGGAGGAACACCAGUGGCGAAGGCGGAUUGCUGGACAGUAACUGACGCUGAGGCGCGAAAGCGUGGGGAGCAAACAGGAUUAGAUACCCUUGUAGUC
rnacentral:rRNA from 1 species